UGCCAAUCUCCAUGAGAUAUCUCUGUGUAUUGUAAUGGUCAAUUAAACGCUUUUUAUUGAACCUGGUAAUAUUUUUGUCUACUUCCACAGUUGGGGGCUCUUUGUCCGGGAUCAGAAUACCACAGACACCAGCAGAACACCUGCACCUGCCAACCAUUUCGUGGGCACUCAAACAGACCGGUCAUAUGAAAGGUAAGCCAUACCAUUUAUAAAACAUGGCAUUAGUGUAAUUUUUGAGUGUCCAUGAAACAAAGAACGGUGCAGGUAAAUGCUAGUCUGUGUGACCUGAUUUCUUAGCCUUUUAUUGACCAUUUGUAACGUUACUAUUUAUGUUUAUGUUGUAAAAUAUACUGCAGUAUUAGUGUCUAUGUCUGAGUGAUUCUAGAAUCAGUGGUAGCACUGACAGGUAGUCCCCUAGGAAGACUUAAGUGACUAAACUUCGCAGACCCAAUAGGGGUUUGGUGGGCC